UCCUGACCACACAUUUUAAUUGAGAGAAGGUUUCUCCGUCAACUCACGGUUAUUUUUUACUGAGAAAGCAAUAAAGAGUAAUCUAUCUCCCAAACAUGGAACCCUAAUCCUGGAUUUUUGUUGCUCGUAAGAACUUCUUGGUCUGGAGGGAGGAAGCAGACAGCCAUACAAUAACAAAGCUUUUCGAAUCGCUUAUCGCUUCCUCUUUCGAAGAUGCAGCAAAACCCAAUCUCUCCUUCUGGACAGGAGAGUCCAUCGUCACUUGAUCGAGACAGGGCCGCCUCCGGAUUUGUACACGAGCAAUACCCUGUUGAACAUGAGUGUAAGAAAUGGAGAUCUGGGCGACGCACACCAGGUGUUCGAAAGAAUGCCUCAAAGAGAUAUCAUCUCUUCGAAGACCAACAUUCGAAAUUCUUUUGCAUGCUGCAGACAGACACAUAGUCUAAGUUCAACAAACACGCCCACAUUUUAGAAUGGGAAUGCAAAUUCCCAUUCUACUGAUGGCAGGCUGGUGCUGCCAAACACUCCGACCGUAUUAGAUUUUUCCAACAACGCGACUAGAGCUAUAUUUUUUUCGAAGGAGAGGAAAUUUAGGUUUGUGGGCUUCAGAUACAUAAUUCCUCGCCGGUAAUUGAAUUUGGAAAUUCCUUCACCAAGUACUGAAUCAGCAUAAUGUUUUGUGUAUUUUUUCGGGCGAUCUUCUAUCACCGUUUCCGGUGUUUAAAAAAUGUUUUCGAUUUACGUAUCUUAAGAACAGUGGCUUUUUAUGCUCC